CCUACGGGUGGCUGCAGUGGGGAAUAUUGCACAAUGGGCGCAAGCCUGAUGCAGCCAUGCCGCGUGUGUGAAGAAGGCCUUCGGGUUGUAAAGCACUUUCAGCGGGGAGGAAGGCGGUGAGGUUAAUAACCUCAUCGAUUGACGUUACCCGCAGAAGAAGCACCGGCUAACUCCGUGCCAGCAGCCGCAGUAAUACGGAGGGUGCAAGCGUUAAUCGGAAUUACUGGGCGUAAAGCGCACGCAGGCGGUCUGUCAAGUCGGAUGUGAAAUCCCCGGGCUCAACCUGGGAACUGCAUUCGAAACUGGCAGGCUAGAGUCUUGUAGAGGGGGGUAGAAUUCCAGGUGUAGCGGUGAAAUGCGUAGAGAUCUGGAGGAAUACCGGUGGCGAAGGCGGCCCCCUGGACAAAGACUGACGCUCAGGUGCGAAAGCGUGGGGAGCAAACAGGAUUAGAUACCCCGGUAGUC
rnacentral:rRNA from 1 species